CAAGCUUAAAACUCAAAGGAAUAGACGGGGGCUCGCACAAGCGGUGGAUCAUGAGGCUUAAUUCGUCGAUAAGCGAAAAACCUUACCAAGGCUAGAAAUUAUACUGCAUACUCCGGGAAACCAGAGUAGCCUUCGAGGGUGUAUAACAGGUGAUGCAUGGCCGUCGUCAGUUCGUGCUUUGAAGUGUUCCCUUAAGUGGGGAAACGAACGCAACCCUCGUUGCCUGUUACAAGUGUCAGGCGAGACUGCUCCCUCACGGGAGAGGAAGGUGAGGAUGACGCCAGGUCAGCAUGUCCCUUGAUGCCUUGGGCUGCACUCGUGAUACAAUGGGAAGUACAAAGGGACGCAAUACAGUAAUGUGGAGCAAAUCCUGAUAAAACUUUCCCCAGUUCGGAUUGUGGGCUGCAACUCGCCCACAUGAAGUUGGAAUCGCUAGUAAUCGUGAAUCAGCACGUCACGGUGAAUACGUUCCCGAGCCUUGUACUCACCGCCCGUCAAGUCAGGGGAGUCGGAAGUGCCCGAAGUUCGUCCUUGCGGCGACCUACGGUAAAUUCGAUAACAAGGACUAAGUCGUAACAAGGCACGGCUAGCGGAAGCUGGUCGUGGAUUAAUUCCAAU
rnacentral:rRNA from 1 species